AUUGAACGCUGGCGGCAGGCCUAACACAUGCAAGUCGAGCGAGUGGCGGACGGGUGAGUAAUGUCCGGGAAACUGCCUGAUGGAGGGGGAUAACUACUGGAAACGGUAGCUAAUACCGCAUACCAUCGGAUUUGCACAGAUGGGAUUAGCUAGUUGGUGGGGUAACGGCUCACCUUGGCGACGAUCCCUAGCUGGUCUGAGAGGAUCACCAGCCACACUGGGACUGAGACACGGCCCAGACUCCUACGGGAGGCAGCAGUGGGGAAUAUUGCACAAUGGACGAAAGCCUGAUGGAGCCAUGCCGCGUGAGUGAAGAAGGCCUUCGGGUUGUAAAGUACUUUCAGCGGGGAGGCGUUACCCGCAGAAGAAGCACCGGCUAACUCCGUGCCAGCAGCCGCGGUAAUAC
rnacentral:rRNA from 1 species